rnacentral:rRNA from 1 species
UACGUAGGUGGCAAGCGUUGUCCGGAUUUACUGGGCGUAAAGAGCGCGCAGGCGGUUGGAUAAGUCGAAUGUGAAAGCCCCCGGCUCAACUGGGGAGGGUCAUUCGAUACUGUCCAACUUGAAGGCAGGAGAGGGCAGCAGAAUUCCCGGUGUAGUGGUGAAAUGCGUAGAUAUCGGGAGGAAUACCAGUGGCGAAGGCGGCAUCCUGGACCGAGAUUGACGCUGAGGCGCGAAAGCCAGGGGAGCAAACGGG